rnacentral:rRNA from 1 species
UGGGGAAUAUUGCACAAUGGGCGCAAGCCUGAUGCAGCCAUGCCGCGUGUGUGAAGAAGGCCUUCGGGUUGUAAAGCACUUUCAGCGAGGAGGAAGGUGGUGAGCUUAAUACGCUCAUCAAUUGACGUUACUCGCAGAAGAAGCACCGGCUAACUCCGUGCCAGCAGCCGCGGUAAUACGGAGGGUGCAAGCGUUAAUCGGAAUUACUGGGCGUAAAGCGCACGCAGGCGGUUUGUUAAGUCAGAUGUGAAAUCCCCGGGCUCAACCUGGGAACUGCAUUUGAAACUGGCAAGCUAGGGUCAUCGUAGAGGGGGUAGAAUUCCAGGUGUAGGCGGUGAAAUGCGUAGAGAUCUGGAGGAAUACCGGUGGCGAAGGCGGCCCCCUGGACGAAGCACUGACGCUCAGGUGCGAAAAGCGUGGGGAGCAAAACAGGAUUAGGAUAACCCUGGUAGUCCACGCUGUAAAACGAUGUCGAUUUGGAGGUUGUGCCCUUGAGGCGUGGCUUCCGGAGCUAACGCGUUAAAUCGACCGCCUGGGGAGUACGGCCGCAAGGUUAAAACUUAAAGGAA